AUGCAAGUUUUCGGGGACUCGGCCGCAGAAAUCAUCAACUCAGAGGUCGCCUGUGAGCAGCUUCCGGCCAACCUCGAAGGAGACGAAAGCGUCGAUGCAGGCGUACUUGAUCUGAUCGUACGAGAGGCAGUAGGCGUCCCACGGGCCCAUCCUCACCCUCUGUGGCUUCUGAAGGUUGGCUCCCAUGACGGUGCGCGCCACGGCCUGCAGUCCGGCCUGGCGGAGCUCCGGCAUUUGCAUCCCCUCCGCCGCGAGGCCACGCAGGUCGACCGCGUUGGCCACCUCGAGGCUGUGGUCGUCGCUGAGGCGCUCGACGUCCUCCUGCACGCCGACGCCGACAAAGCGGAGGUUGGGGUCGGCGAGGAAGCCCGACAGAGCCUGGGGGACGAAGUCGGCGUGGAGGAGCUGGAAGAUGAGGCAGCGGCGGCCGACGCAGAGCUGCAGGAGCGCGACGGGGUUCUGGGAGGGGCUGUAGCUGGGGCGCCACUCGACGUCCAUCCCGACGACGAGGUCGCCGAGGACGGAGCGGAUCUCCUGGAGCCAGCCCUCUACGGCCGCGCCGGAGUUGGUCACGGUGGUGACGAUCACGUCCGCCCCGAAGGCAACGUCGGUGACGAACGUGUCGGUGGCCAUCGGAUGAUGGAUCGCUCCGUCGGUUCUGGGCUAGCUGGCGCUCCUUCCGCCCGCAGACGACCGGGGUCAAGAGGGGGUCAGAGCAAGGGAGAAGAAACAAACCGAACGGCGAUGGCGGAUUGGCGGCGGGCGGGCGAGGGCAUGGACCAGCCCGACAUAUAUCUCAAAGAGAAUAUAUCAGAAUAA
rnacentral:rRNA from 1 species